CUACGGGUUGCUCCAGUGAGGAAUAUUGCACAAUGGGGGGAACCCUGAUGCAGCAACGCCGCGUGGAGGAUGACGCAUUUCGGUGUGUAAACUCCCUUUAUAUGUCAAGAAAAUGACGGUAGCAUAUGAAUAAGCACCGGCUAACUCCGUGCCAGCAGCCGCGGUGAUACGGAGGGUGCAAGCGUUACUCGGAAUCACUGGGCGUAAAGGACGCGUAGGCGGGUUGGAAAGUAGGUGUGAAAUCCUACAGCUUAACUGUAGAACUGCACUUGAAACUUCUAAUCUAGAGGAUGGGAGGGGGAGAUGGAAUUAGUGGUGUAGGGGUAAAAUCCGUAGAUAUCACUAGGAAUACCUAAAGCGAAGGCGAUCUCCUGGAACAUUACUGACGCUAAGGCGUGAAAGCGUGGGGAGCAAACUGGAUUAGAUACCCCAGUAGUC
rnacentral:rRNA from 1 species